rnacentral:rRNA from 1 species
GAGGGUCAUUGGAAACUGGGGAACUUGAGUGCAGAAGAGGAGAGUGGAAUUCCACGUGUAGCGGUGAAAUGCGUAGAGAUGUGGAGGAACACCAGUGGCGAAGGCGACUCUCUGGUCUGUAACUGACGCUGAGGAGCGAAAGCGUGGGGAGCGAACAGGAUUAGAUACCCUGGUAGUCCACGCCGUAAACGAUGAGUGCUAAGUGUUAGGGGGUUUCCGCCCCUUAGUGCUGCAGCUAACGCAUUAAGCACUCCGCCUGGGGAGUACGGUCGCAAGACUGAAACUCAAAGGAAUUGACGGGGGCCCGCACAAGCGGUGGAGCAUGUGGUUUAAUUCGAAGCAACGCGAAGAACCUUACCAGGUCUUGACAUCCUCUGACAAUCCUAGAGAUAGGACGUCCCCUUCGGGGGCAGAGUGACAGGUGGUGCAUGGUUGUCGUCAGCUCGUGUCGUGAGAUGUUGGGUUAAGUCCCGCAACGAGCGCAACCCUUGAUCUUAGUUGCCAGCAUUCAGUUGGGCACUCUAAGGUGACUGCCGGUGACAAACCGGAGGAAGGUGGGGGAUGACGUCAAAUCAUCAUGCCCCUUAUGACCUGGGCUACACACGUGCUACAAUGG